CCGAUCGCUGGCAUUCGGUAUUCCACAAUCCACAAGCGCGGAGCAAUGCAAGCGUCAUCUAUGGUGGUUUUGUCUAUCUCUAUCCUGUUUUUCUGUGUAUUGUAUUGGAGCAUGUAUACCAUUGAGCACGAGUGUCACUAGCAAUUGUUCUCCAACUUCAACGCACUUAACAGACCCGAAACAUGUUUUCAUGUACAAGCCAUCUCCAUCUCCACCACCUCAUACACUUUCCCGAUUACCAUUAAAAUUAAUAAAUUCCACCAUAGACUCAGGCAAUCGCUGGCUGCUUCCUCUUCUUCUAUUCACUACGACAGUCUCCGAGUGCUGGAAUGGGAUAAGCUGUGCGAUUUGGUCGCUUCCUUCGCUACCACCUCUCUGGGCUGCAAAGCCGUCAAAGCCCAGCUAUGGUCUCUGAAUCAGACUUACGACGAGAGCCUGAGACUUCUGAACGAAACAAAUGCGGCCGUCGAAAUGCACAAGCAUGGAGGUUGCCGACUGGACUUCGGCCACAUUGAUGCUGCCCUGGUGGAGUCUGCAAUUCAGCAUGCC